GAAUGUUUUUUGAAUUUUUCCUUUAACAAAAUUAUAAGAAGGGUCCUACAUUCUUGAGGCUAAAAUUUGUUUAACCAACUAGUCGAGAUACUGUUUUGCCAUUUUAAAUGUCGGAUCUGUAAGUCACAAAUAAUGUUUCUAGACCUUAAAUUACCUUGUUUUUGAAUGCUGGAUUAAGAAACUAGCAGACCACAAACACCAAAGGGAAUACGCGUUACGGCUUAAAAGUUAGCUGACUUGGUACUGUUUUCUGUAAUAUAUUUUCUACCAAAAUUUAAAUUGUAGAAUGCGACUUCUCAAAAACAUCAAAAUUCUUUAGCAAUGCCCAUUUAUUAUUACUUCGUUUACUGUAGGCAGCUUCUCGGCUGUGUAAAUUUCGGAAUUAAAAGUCUGCGUGGCAAAAAGGAAGUUUUCACGAAUCGAGCUUGUAAUUAAUUAGAGCACACAGUCGCUAAAAUAAGUAAAGCCUUCAAAACUACCGGGUGUUAAUUUUCUAUAGUGGGAAAUAAAACAAAGUCUUCAAUUGUUCAUCAAAAAUCGCACCUAUUAGGGUAUUUGACACAAUUGAGCAUGGGUAUACAGACAACAAAUAUGUAAAAAAAAUAAAAAAUAAAAUAAAUAAAUAAUAAAAUUAUUUAUGAUAGCCAAUAUUAAAUAAGCAAUUUUGAGAGCAAAAUUAAUUUCUCAGAAUAUUAAAAAAGCAGCGCCAACAACAAUUUCACAAGCAAGAGAUGACAAUGUUUCAUACAACCCCAUUUAUAAGUUUUUAUUAUUUGUACAUUUAUCAUUUUACUUUUUACAUUUGUUUUAA
rnacentral:lncRNA from 1 species